AUCCUGUCAGGGUCACAUCUGGAGAGUGUCCAACGCUCUACCAGUCUCCACUAUGAUAGGUAGAGUCAAGCAGAGGCAUAGCCAUUCCAUUCCUAGCUUGGGCAGUGGCUAGUGAGUGGAAGGUGAUCUGCUACAAGU